AUGACUAUCACACGAUGGAUACCAUAUAGGGCAUGCUAUAGAUGUUUUCCUGAGUCUGAGCGAUCAUCAAGCCUACUGGGAGAAAACAUAAGAAGGAAAGGAUGUGAGGAGAAAGCAGGACAGAAAACAGACCUGACCUCAGACGGUGAUAUGGAAGGUGAGAAGAGUGGGAUUCAAGAAAAUUGGACAGAAACCUGUCACACAUGUUAUGGCUCCAAGUAUAACCCCUACUGA
rnacentral:lncRNA from 1 species